ensembl:lncRNA
UGGAGAGGAAGGAAGGGGGUGUGGACAGUGAAUUUCCAGGGGUCUCUACAACCUGUUGCCUGUUGUCCAUUAUAGAGAAGAGGUUAUUUAGUCAAGGCAUUGCCUUUCUAAAACAGCUGCCCUGGAACAGAUGGUGGAGUUUUGGAGAUCUGUCCAGGAGAGGCGCAAGAGAAGUAAAAGUGGCUCAGGAGCUGGUAACCAGAUAGAAAAGACUUCAGAAGGGUGUGGAAAAUAUUGAAUGUCUUUAUCAAACAAGAGGGACAGAGGACUCUGCACGCACUGUGCAAGCAGAACAAGGAGAAGCAGUUGUCUGCUGGUCAUGAUGACAAACAACCACAGGGAAGGUGGCUGUGGUGGCUCAGAGGUGCAGCUCGUUGCUGCAGAAGGAGACCUGGAGUCUUGGAGGUGGAAGAGAAGGACAGAGAGGGUGGAGGGAUGGCUGUCAACUUCAGCAUCAAAACAAGGAGUUAUGAGACUUGAAGAGGCUGUGUGCAGGACUAAACAGUCAAAUGCAGUAGCUGAACCCCUUGCGUUUUCCUCUACUGUCAGGAGCAGAGAUUCUGAUCCUAAUGCGAGACCAGAAGCUGGAACUUCCAGUUUUGGGGGCUUUGUCCUUGCAGUGUCACAAACCAAACUUUUCUAGAAAUCAUAGGAUGGCUGAAAGGGACCUUAAAAGAUCAUCAAGCUCCAACACCCCAGUCUGCUCCUCAAAUCCAUAGAUGCUGAUUCUCAGUCCAUUCCACUACAUGUAACUUACACUAGAGUGUAAGAUAUUCUGUCUUGUUAGUAUUGCCUGCCUACAUUUGGAUCCAUUUAACUUUGUCAGAAGGAUCUCAGUAUUUAAUCCCCUGUCCAUCCUCUGGCGAUAUUGCAGCUGUCCAGAUGGUAAUACAGGUGUGCAGAGUUGGAAGAAUUAAUGUAGUUCAUUUUCAUGUAAGCGGUGCCAUUAGGAGUCCCUUUAUAUCAGUUAAAGUGUGACUGUGGAGGAGAAGGGAAUACUACUUUAAUUACAUUGGCUUUGAAGCUAAUAUAGUUAAGUCAAUAUGAAAAAUUAUGCGUAGACUAUCCCUAGAGGUAUAAAUUGAAACAAUUCCUAUUGAAGAAAAAGUCCAAUAGAGUAAACAAUUGACAAAAUAGUUUGAAAAGGGAUAAACCUUCUCCCAUUUUCUCACUCAGAACAUUUUGUCCAGCUAAGACUGCUGUGUAUGGCUAAAGAGUGGGGCUGAAAGUCUCAGCUGAGCUGGAAAGAAGACAGCCUGACAGAGCCUAUCUGGGAACUUUAUUUUAGUUCCCCUGAGGUAUUACUUAGAGCAGGAUGAAGAGGCAGCCUGACCCCUAAUAGAAAAGAGGCACUGCUGCUUUUCAAAGAUGCCCGAGGUUCUGGAUUCAGGAUACUGUCAAGAAGAUCACUCUGUCUCUGCUCGUGAUCCUUACCUGACCAUGUGUGCAGCCCCAGCAUUUGUACUGUGUGGAGUUUGCUUUUGGGUUUCCCCACAAACAUAUAAACUUAAUGCAGAAAGAUCUAACUAUAUGUAUAUAUUUCAUUCUUGUUAUUUUCAAUGGAAAGUAUGGGGAAAAAAAAAAUCUGUAGGAACUUCUCUCAGUUUCUAAUAAUCUCAAUUACUUGUGUCAUCAAAUGCAUU